rnacentral:rRNA from 1 species
CGCGGCCUAUCAGCUUGUUGGUGGGGUAACGGCCUACCAAGGCAUUGACGGGUAGCUGGCGUGAGAGCGUGGCCAGCCACACUGGGACUGAGACACGGCCCAGACUCCUACGGGAGGCAGCAGUAGGGAAUCUUGCGCAAUGGGCGAAAGCCUGACGCAGCGACGCCGCGUGAGGGAUGAAGGCUUUCGGGUUGUAAACCUCUUUCAGCAGGGACGAAGCGAAAGUGACGGUACCUGCAGAAGAAGCCCCGGCUAACUACGUGCCAGCAGCCGCGGUAAUACGUAGGGGGCAAGCGUUAUCCGGAUUUAUUGGGCGUAAAGAGCUCGUAGGCGGCCGGUCGCGUCGGAUGUGAAAGCUCGGGGCUUAACCCUGAGAGGCCAUUCGAUACGGAUCGGCUAGAGGUAGGUAGGGGAAAGUGGAAUUCCUGGUGUAGCGGUGAAAUGCGCAGAUAUCAGGAGGAACACCGGUGGCGAAGGCGGCUUUCUGGGCCUUACCUGACGCUGAGGAGCGAAAGCUGGGGGAGCGAACAGGAUUAGAUACCCUGGUAGUCCCAGCCGUAAACGUUGGGUGCUAGGUGUGGGGAGGUCUUCAACCCUCUCCGUGCCGAAGCUAACGCAUUAAGCACCCCGCCUGGGGAGUACGG